CUUUUUUUUUUGCACCAAACAGCAGAGAAAUCCUCUGCUAGGGUUUUCAUACCCAAACCCCCACUUAAUGUCGCCGUUCAUGCCCCCAAGCCUCCUUCAAACUCCGAUUGUGACGGGGCGAUGAAGGUUCAACGGCGCCGAUAUGGGGCAUGGCUAAAGGCGUGCGGAGCGACGUUUGCGGAGGUGCGCGAGGAGUGCGACUCCGAGUCUUGCGGAGGUGCGCAAAAGGGCAGCAGUUGCGGCGCCAGUUUGCUGCCACUGCUUAGGGUUUUCUGCUCUUUGAGAAUUUUGGGCUAGGUUUAGUGGGCUGGGCAUGUUUGGGUCUAUUUAUUUUCUUGGGCCCGGGCAUAUUUGGGCUUGUACACUAAUAAUAUGUUUUAAUCAAAUAAUGGUUAAAUAAAUUUUAUUUUAUAUUAACAUAAAUGAGAUAACAACUUAAAUA